ensembl:lncRNA
CAGGGAUCGAACUCGGGUCCUUGCACUUGUGCAGCAGGCGGCGAAACCACUAAGCUAAAUCCCUGGCCCAACUCUCCUACUUUUUGAAGAGAUCGAACUCGGGUCCUUGGCUUUCGAGGCAGGCGGCGGAACCAUUGAGCUAAAUCCCUGGCGAUAUAAUAAACUUUUAUCCUACAAAGGUUGUUGGCCAUCUUCCACAAAGAUGGCUUAGGUGUGGCUGCAUGGUGGGAGAGUUCUCAGUGCAAUAGUGGAAGCUGCAAGGGCAACAAAGGAAUCAGAAUUGAAGGCGGAGGGGAAGGGAAGGUGAUAGGUGGACAGACCACAGCACGCUCACCUCUGUGAUGGCCUGAAGCUGCAGCCGCUGCGCUGCUCUCCUGGGCCUGCGACACUCCAAAGGGACCCUGGGUGGAGCUGUGACGCGGGCCCACUUGUGGAGUGAGAACUUGCGGUGCAGUUACACUAACUGAAGCAUUCUUACUUUGGAAAAGUUGAAAGAUCAGAUGAGCUUUAGGUCAU